ACUUAACCGCAUUUUGAUGUUUACAUGUCAAGAGCAAAGCUCUUACUCCCGUUUACAUGCAAUUUUCAUUAUUCUUAUUAUUCGCUAAGAAUUGUGGUUAAUUUUUUUAUUGCCAUUAUUCACAUACCCCACUGGACAGCACAAAUGAUGGACUCAGAAAGAGCAGUGUUCGUCGCUGUUUUAAUUUAUUUACGUCUAAUGCAUAAUGAUUUUGUAUGGCUGAUUCCACGCUUUUUCGGCGCCAUAGAAAUGUGAUGGAGUUUGUUUGCCUACGCUGCCGUCGCGUUCUACUCGCCGUUUCUGGAUGAGGACGUGAAUCAGAAGACUGCUCAUUGAUGGAGAACGAACAGAAAUGAUGAAUCACCGCAUGAUGUCUGGAGUGUUGGGCAGCAGAGAGAUCCGUCUCUUUCACGUGUCUCACUCCCCCGAGCGUGUGAGGGUCUUUAUUAAUGAGCGUGGCUCACCCCAGAGGGUCAAACCCAUUCGGGCUGCUGAUGGAUCUCAUCUGCAGCAGAGUGUGCUGGGAUCUUCUGCCUCACAUGUGCUGCACCAUCAGUCUUACAGUGAAGAUGUGGAUCCAGAAAAAUGAUGGACCAGUGACCGAGAGAUACAGAGAUUACAA